ncrna:Tupaia chinensis (Chinese tree shrew) microRNA tch-mir-376b precursor
GUGGAUAUUCCUUCUAUGUUUACGUGCUUCCUGGUUAAUCAUAGAGGAAAAUCCAUGUU